GCAAGCAACCUUAUUUGCCCCAAACAGAGUCUUAAAGGUUAAACCCCAUCGCAAACGCGACCCUCACAAAACCUCUGCGCUCAGUCAUGGCCUUUGCUGCAGCCGCCGCUAGGUCAGCCCUCCGCGGCGCUUCCGUUCGAACCGCGGCGGCAAAAAUCGCUGCUGGAGCGAGGCCCAAGCGUUCUAGCUUCAGCUUCUGCAAACAAAGACCCCUCUCUCAUCGCAUUUUCAGGUCUCCUGUUGAAAUGAGCUGCUGCGUUGAAUCGAUGCUUCCAUAUCACACUGCUACUGCCUCCGCAUUGCUCACUUCCAUGAUUUCCGUUUCCCGCCGCAGGUGCGGUUGGACCCCAGAAGGUUUAGGGAUGGGGGAUGGGGCAAGACAAGACUAGAUGAAGGUGAAGCAAUCAAAGAUGGUGUGACUUGGAUUUUUCUUUGUUAUCAAAUUUUGAGAGUACCUGUUAUGUAGAUUAGAUGGAUGAUGUUUUCAUGGGAUGCAGUGCAUUGGUCGUAGUUUCUUUCUAUGGAUUUCAAUGGACUUUGGAAAAGAUCCAAGACAAUCAUGUUUUCCAGAGACUUUGUGAUCAAGAAGCAAGCAAGGUCUUUUUGCUUGAGGUUUUUGAACAUGUUUUGGGUAGGGGAAAGAUCUACAGAAUCAUGUUUUUCACUCUCGUGAUCAAGAAGUUAAAAAAUAAAGUGGAAUGGACCUUUGAGGAAAUCUUCCUUGUUUGGAUUGCUAUGUAGCAAAGAUUCCUUCUGCAUUUUUGGUGGCUACUAGCGAUAAUGAUGGGGUCGGAUAAAAUGGCAAAAGGCUCCCUCGUGGAAAGCCACUUUAAUUGCGUCUACAAAGGCAGUGAAGACAAAGCUUGGCAUUUCUAAACUCAAGACUGCUUUCGUCCUUCAUUUUACUAUGCUAAUUUCCUAGUGUUAGGGCUCUGCAGCCUGUCACCAGACUCGCCACUGUUCUUGCUUCUCGUGGGCAAUAUUUUUUUGCCCUUUAUUGGGAGGAGUGCAGGGAGACUGGGGAAUUAUUCAGGAGUGCCACCCAUUAAGCUGACUCUGCACUCGGUGCCUCAGAACAGAAUAGAAUUUGUUCUUAUGUUUUUACAUAUCUAUCAUAUAAUAUUUUUGUUUUAUUGCAACUCUUAGAAUACCGAACAUAACAUUAUAUGUUUGACUAAGAUGAAUGGGGCUUUU